rnacentral:tRNA from 1 species
CAUUGCGAAGCUCAGAGCGUUAACCUUUUAAGUUAAAGUUAGAGAUCCAGAUCUCCGUGAUGA